GUUGUAUGGUUAAGUGACUAAGCGUACACGGUGGAUGCCUUGGCAGUCAGAGGCGAUGAAAGACGUAGUAACUUGCGAUAAGCCCAGAUUAGGUAGUAACAACCAUUUGAGUCUGGGAUUUCUGAAUGGGGAAACCCACGUGCAUAAGCACGUAUCCUUACCUGAAUACAUAAGGUAAGGAGGCGAACCGGGGGAACUGAAACAUCUAAGUACCCCGAGGAAAAGAAAUCAACCGAGAUUCCGAAAGUAGCGGCGAGCGAAAUUGGACUAGCCCUUAAGCUUUACACGCGUUAGACGAACGGUCUGGAAAGUCCGACGAUACAGGGUGAUAGUCCCGUAGUUGACGACGUGUGUUCAGUGAAAUCGAGUAGGGCGGGACACGUGAUAUCCUGUCUGAAUAUGGGGGGACCAUCCUCCAAGGCUAAAUACUACUGACUGACCGAUAGUGAACCAGUACCGUGAGGGAAAGGCGAAAAGAACCCCUGUGAGGGGAGUGAAAUAGAACCUGAAACCGUGUACGUACAAGCAGUAGGAGCAGGCUUUGUCCUGUGACUGCGUACCUUUUGUAUAAUGGGUCAGCGACUUAUAUUCAGUGGCAAGGUUAACCAUCUAGGGGAGCCGUAGGGAAACCGAGUCUUAACUGGGCGUUCAGUCUCUGGAUAUAGACCCGAAACCAGGUGAUCUAGCCAUGGGCAGGUUGAAGGUUGAGUAACAUCAACUGGAGGACCGAACCGACUAAUGUUGAAAAAUUAGCGGAUGACUUGUGGCUAGGGGUGAAAGGCCAAUCAAACCUGGAGAUAGCUGGUUCUCCCCGAAAGCUAUUUAGGUAGCGCCUCGGACGAAUACUACUGGGGGUAGAGCACUGUUAAGGCUAGGGGGUCAUCCCGACUUACCAACCCUUUGCAAACUCCGAAUACCAGUAAGUACUAUCCGGGAGACACACGGCGGGUGCUAACGUCCGUCGUGGAGAGGGAAACAACCCAGACCGCCAGCUAAGGUCCCAAAUUACUACUAAGUGGGAAACGAUGUGGGAAGGCUCAGACAGCCAGGAUGUUGGCUUAGAAGCAGCCAUCAUUUAAAGAAAGCGUAAUAGCUCACUGGUCGAGUCGGCCUGCGCGGAAGAUGUAACGGGGCUAAGUAGUAAACCGAAGCUGCGGCAAUAUACUUUUGUAUAUUGGGUAGGGGAGCGUUCUGUAAGCGGUUGAAGGUGUGUGGUAACGCAUGCUGGACGUAUCAGAAGUGCGAAUGCUGACAUGAGUAACGAUAAAGGGGGUGAAAAACCUCCUCGCCGGAAGACCAAGGGUUCCUGUCCAACGUUAAUCGGGGCAGGGUAAGUCGACCCCUAAGGCGAGGCCGAAAGGCGUAGUCGAUGGGAAACGGGUUAAUAUUCCCGUACUUCUUACAAUUGCGAUGGGGGGACGGAGAAGGCUAGGUGGGCCUGGCGACGGUUGUCCAGGUUCAAGUGCGUAGGCUUAAGAGUUAGGUAAAUCCGGCUCUUUCUAAGGCUGAGACACGACGUCGAGCACCUACGGGUGUGAAGUCAUUGAUGCCAUGCUUCCAGGAAAAGCCUCUAAGCUUCAGAUUGUAAGGAAUCGUACCCCAAACCGACACAGGUGGUCGGGUAGAGAAUACCAAGGCGCUUGAGAGAACUCGGGUGAAGGAACUAGGCAAAAUGGUACCGUAACUUCGGGAGAAGGUACGCUCUUGAUGGUGAAGUCCCUUGCGGAUGGAGCUGACGAGAGUCGCAGAUACCAGGUGGCUGCAACUGUUUAUUAAAAACACAGCACUGUGCAAAAUCGUAAGAUGACGUAUACGGUGUGACGCCUGCCCGGUGCCGGAAGGUUAAUUGAUGGGGUUAGACUUCGGUCGAAGCUCUUGAUCGAAGCCCCGGUAAACGGCGGCCGUAACUAUAACGGUCCUAAGGUAGCGAAAUUCCUUGUCGGGUAAGUUCCGACCUGCACGAAUGGCGUAAUGAUGGCCACGCUGUCUCCACCCGAGACUCAGUGAAAUUGAAAUCGCUGUGAAGAUGCAGUGUACCCGCGGCUAGACGGAAAGACCCCGUGAACCUUUACUACAGCUUGGCACUGAACAUUGACCCUACAUGUGUAGGAUAGGUGGGAGGCUUUGAAGCACGUACGCCAGUAUGUGUGGAGCCGUCCUUGAAAUACCACCCUUGUAGUGUUGAUGUUCUAACGUCGACCCCUUAUCGGGGUUGCGGACAGUGCCUGGUGGGUAGUUUGACUGGGGCGGUCUCCUCCCAAAGAGUAACGGAGGAGCACGAAGGUGGGCUAAUCACGGUUGGACAUCGUGAGGUUAGUGCAAUGGCAUAAGCCCGCUUGACUGCGAGAAUGACAAUUCGAGCAGGUGCGAAAGCAGGUCAUAGUGAUCCGGUGGUUCUGAAUGGAAGGGCCAUCGCUCAACGGAUAAAAGGUACUCCGGGGAUAACAGGCUGAUACCGCCCAAGAGUUCAUAUCGACGGCGGUGUUUGGCACCUCGAUGUCGGCUCAUCACAUCCUGGGGCUGAAGUCGGUCCCAAGGGUAUGGCUGUUCGCCAUUUAAAGUGGUACGCGAGCUGGGUUUAGAACGUCGUGAGACAGUUCGGUCCCUAUCUGCCGUGGGCGUUGGAAGAUUGAAGGGGGCUGCUCCUAGUACGAGAGGACCGGAGUGGACGAACCUCUGGUGUUCGGGUUGUGUCGCCAGACGCAUUGCCCGGUAGCUAAGUUCGGAAUCGAUAACCGCUGAAAGCAUCUAAGCGGGAAGCGAGCCCUGAGAUGAGUCUUCCCUGAUACUUUAAGUAUCCUAAAGGGUUGUCGGAGACUACGACGUUGAUAGGUCAGGUGUGUAAGUGCUGUGAGGCAUUGAGCUAACUGAUACUAAUUGCCCGUGAGGCUUAACCAUACAACACCCAAGGGGUUU
rnacentral:rRNA from 1 species